rnacentral:rRNA from 1 species
AGUGAACGCUGGCGGUAGGCCUAACACAUGCAAGUCGAACGGCAGCACAGUAAGAGCUUGCUCUUACGGGUGGCGAGUGGCGGACGGGUGAGGAAUACAUCGGAAUCUACUUUUUCGUGGGGGAUAACGUAGGGAAACUUACGCUAAUACCGCAUACGACCUACGGGUGAAAGCAGGGGAUCUUCGGACCUUUCGCGAUUGAAUGAGCCGAUGUCGGAUUAGCUAGUUGGCGGGGUAAAGGCCCACCAAGGCGACGAUCCGUAGCUGGUCUGAGAGGAUGAUCAGCCACACUGGAACUGAGACACGGUCCAGACUCCUACGGGAGGCAGCAGUGGGGAAUAUUGGACAAUGGGCGGAAGCCUGAUCCAGCAAUACCGCGUGGGUGAAGAAGGACUUCGGGUUGUAAAGCCCUUUUGUUGGGAAAGAAAAGCAGCAGGUUAAUACCCCGCUGUUCUGACGGUACCCAAAGAAUAAGCACCGGCUAACUUCGUG